rnacentral:rRNA from 1 species
UACGUAGGUGGCAAGCGUUGUCCGGAUUUACUGGGCGUAAAGCGCGCGCAGGUGGCGCGUCAAGUCUGGUGUGAAAGCCUCCGGCUCAACCGGAGGAGGCCACUGGAGACUGGCGUGCUCGAGGUGGGUAGGGGUCGGUGGAAUUCCCGGUGUAGUGGUGAAAUGCGUAGAUAUCGGGAGGAACACCAGUGGCGAAAGCGGCCGACUGGGCCCAACCUGACGCUGAGGCGCGAAAGCGUGGGGAGCAAACAGG